UGCCAGCCGCCGCGGUAAUACUGAAGGUGCAAGCGUUAAUCGGAAUUACUGGGCUUAAAGAGCUCGUAGGUGGUUAAAAAAGUUGAUGGUGAAAUCCCAAGGCUCAACCUUGGAACUGCCAUCAAAACUUUUUAGCUAGAGUAUGAUAGAGGAAAGUGGAAUUUCUAGUGUAGAGGUGAAAUUCGUAGAUAUUAGAAAGAACACCAAAUGCGAAGGCAACUUUCUGGAUCAUUACUGACACUGAGGAGCGAAAGCAUGGGUAGCGAAGAGGAUUAGAUA
rnacentral:rRNA from 1 species